rnacentral:lncRNA from 1 species
UGCUUGCCUAAAAGGUCCUGAAAUAAUCUGUUCAUGUGACACAUGUAAGAGAUUGGAGUAUUAAUAAAGCCAAAAGGUAAAACAAGCCAUUCAAAAUAUCCAUGUUCCGAGCACCUAGUUGUAGAAGGUAGAAUGGAAAUUGCAACAACAAAAUUCUAACUCUAAUAGAAUACUAACUAAACUCUAAUUAGACCAUAACAAUUCUAAAUAAGCUUUAAUCAAAUUCAAAAAAACCUCAAAGGAAUUUCAUAGAAAUAAUAAGAAAUCUUAAAGAAAUAUUAAAAUGAUCACAAAUAUAUCUCAAAUACAUCUCAAUUCAAUCUUAAUUUAAUCCUAGUUAAAAUCAUAUUGAACUUCAUUCAAACUUUAGGCCAAAAAGUAAUUAAAUCUUAAAUCCUCAAUAAACCCUAAUAAAAUCCUAAAUCCUAAACCAAAUCCUAACCAAAUCCUAACCAAAUCCUAAACCAAAUUCUAACCGAACCCUAAUCAAAUCCUAAACCAAAUCCUAAUCCCUAAAUCAAAUCCCAACUAAACCUUAAACCAAAUCUUAAAUCCUAAACCAAAUCCUAAUCAAAUCCUAAAUCAAAUCCUAAUCAAAUCCUAAAUCAAAUCCUAAAUCCUAAAUAAAAUCCUAAUCAAAUUUUAAAUCCUAAACCAAAUCCUAAUCAAAUGCUAAAUCCUAAACCAAACUCUAACCAAAUUCUAAGCAAACCCUAAAUCAAAUCCUAAUUAAAUCUUAAAUAAAAUCCUAACUAAAUCUUAAACCAAAUCCUAACCAAAUCCUAACCAAAUCCUAACCAAAUCCUAAAUCAAAUCCUAAAUCCUAAAUCAAAUCCUAACCAAAUCCUAAUCCUAAAUCAAAUCCUAACUAAAUUCUAAACCCUAAAUUAAAUCUUAACCAAAUCCUAACCCUAAAUCAAAUCCUAAUCAAACUCUAAAUUCUAAACCAAAUCCUAACUAAAUUCUAAAAUCCUAAACCAAACCCUAACCAAACUCUAAAUCCUAAACUAAACCCUAAGCAAACCCUAGUAAUUCCCACAACAAAUUUAAACCUCAA